AGCUUUGUGCAGGGGUAGUAUUGUAGCCAGUAAGGUUUAUCCGAGGCACGAUUACUGCGAAUUGAAAAAGUCUUAUUAGGCUUGGUAGCUUCUAUCCUGGUCCUGCAGAUACUUCAGAUGAUUUUCUCUUAU
ensembl:snRNA U4 U4 spliceosomal RNA